rnacentral:lncRNA from 1 species
AAAGCACACAGAGGAACACGGGAAAUGAUAUCAUUCAGGGUCUGCCACUUGCCCUCCUGAGCCUUUUAAUCCCCAGAUCCACUGCUCUCUUAGCUAGAUGGAGAGAGAGGAGCAUAUAAUACCCCUGCAGUCAGCUCUAACUGAAGGGAGCUGGCUUCUGCCACAGAUUUGAAACCUGGCUUCCUCAUUUUGUGAUUUUCAAGCAAGUCUGGGCUCACACAGUCCCCGCUGAAGGCAAGUAAAUCAUCACAGUGAAUCGUAGAGAAAAAGAAAGAGUCUGUCUUUCAUUUAUCGUUAUCAUCUUCAUACACAAGCAUCAUCUUAGUUGAUAUCUAUGAGAUGUUAAAACCAGCAAAGGAUUCAAUUGGAUUAGAAAACUCAAUGAUUCAGAAACAAGAUGAUCUUAAUUGAGUUGUCUGAGCAAGCAGGCAAAAGACUUCACCACCUGGAGGACUUGUAGGUUGCAAGCUCUGAAUUUCACCAGCAACACUAGAUAAAACAGGGCACACAGUCUGGCCCUGCUACCUGCUGGGAGUGUAUUCAAAGGUGCCUCCAGCAUAUGCAUGAAAUCAGCUCAAGGAAGAUGAGGUAAUUCCAUUUUCUAUGGUUUUCCAAUCACCAAAGCAGUAAUUUUCUCGGCCUACUCAGAAAACAAAAAAUAUCAACAGUGCUUCAAGAGCACAAGGACCAGCUCUUUUCCUAUGAGCUAAUGUAAAUCCUGUAACUAUGUUGGCAGAUCGGAUAUAUUCCAGAGACUAUUAAAUAUGCUUUCCAAAUUUUUUAACGCAAUUUAAAUUUUAUCUGUGUGACCUUCAGGACAAGUUAUCUUCUCAAAGCUGCAAUUCUAUCUUAUAUGACACAGACAUAUGACUAUAUAGCUCACUGAUAAUUAAAGCAAUUAAUAACAAAUAUGUUGAGGGCAGGGAACAAUAGUUGGCAUUCAGAUAUUAUUACUCCUCUGACACUCACACUGUUGAGUAACCAAGUAUUUAGAGCAUGGACCAAGAAUGGGGAAAGUCUCUCUGAGGAGGGUGUCUCAGUUGUUGAUGUUAGAGAGACAGUGGACUGAGAAGCUUUCGAGCAGAUAAUGUGAAAACCAAUGUUACAGGCAGGGAAGUGCAUUGAGGUAGGUGACAAGUUGGGAACUGCUGUGGCCUGGCCUCUGAGUGUCCCGGCUAUGUGGUACAAAUCCUCCCAACCAUGUGGCUCCAUCUGGACUUAUUAGUGCUGGUUGUUCC